rnacentral:rRNA from 1 species
GAUGAACGCUGGCGGCGUGCCUAAUACAUGCAAGUCGAGCGAACAGACGAGGAGCUUGCUCCUCAGACAUUAGCGGCGGGAGGGUGAGUAACACGUGGAUAACAUACCUAUAUGACUGGGAUAACUUCGGGAGACCGGAGCGAAUACAGGAUAAUAUAUUUAACCGCAUGGUUCAAUAGUGAAAGACGGUUUUGCUGACACUUAUAGUUGGAUCCGCGCCGCUUUAGCUAGUUGGUAAGGUAACGGCUUACCAAGGCAACGAUGGGUAGCGGACCUGAGAGGGUGAUCGCCCACAUUGGACCUGGAACAGGGUCAAGCCUCCUACGGGAGGAAGCGGUAGGGAAUCUUCGGCAAUGAGCGAAAGCUUGACGGAGAACCGCCGCGUGAGGGAUGAAGGUCUUCGGAUCGUAAAACCCGUUUAUUAGGGAAGAACAAAUGUGUACGUAAAGAUGCACGUAUUGACGGUACCGAAUCAGAAAGCCACGGCUAACUACGUG